rnacentral:rRNA from 1 species
UACCAGCACCCCGAGUUGUCGGCACGAUUAUUGGGCCUAAAGCAUCCGUAGCCUGUUCUGCAAGUCCUCCGUUAAAUCCACCCGCUUAACGGAUGGGCUGCGGGGGAUACUGCAGAGCUAGGAGGCGGGAGAGGCAAACGGUACUCAGUGGGUAGGGGUAAAAUCCAUUGAUCUACUGAAGACCACCAGUGGCGAAGGCGGUUUGCCAGAACGCGCUCGACGGUGAGGGAUGAAAGCUGGGGGAGCAAACCGG